AGUGAACGCUGGCGGUAGGCCUAACACAUGCAAGUCGAACGGCAGCACAGUAAGAGCUUGCUCUUACGGGUGGCGAGUGGCGGACGGGUGAGGAAUACAUCGGAAUCUUCUUUUUCGUGGGGGAUAACGUAGGGAAACUUACGCUAAUACCGCAUACGACCUACGGGUGAAAGCAGGGGAUCUUCGGACCUUGCGCGAUUGAAUGAGCCGAUGUCGGAUUAGCUAGUUGGCGGGGUAAAGGCCCACCAAGGCGACGAUCCGUAGCUGGUCUGAGAGGAUGAUCAGCCACACUGGAGCUGAGACGCGGUCCAGACUCCUACGGGAGGCAGCAGUGGGGAAUAUUGGACAAUGGGCGGAAGCCUGAUCCAGCCAUCCCGCGUGGGUGAAGAAGGCCUUCGGGUUGUAAAGCCCUUUUGUUGGGAAAGAACAGCAGCAGGUUAAUACCCCGCUGUUCUGACGGUACCCAAAGAAUAAGCACCGGCUAACUUCGUG
rnacentral:rRNA from 1 species